rnacentral:lncRNA from 1 species
GCCAUCUUCUCAUUCACCACCAUGAAAAUGGAGUUUUUCAAUUUCUUUUCCUUGUUUUCUUUUCAUUUCCUUUCUUUUCUUACUUUUUUCUUCUCCAAACUUCUUGGGGACUAAACCUGCAGUUUGUAACCCAAAUUCCAGCACAUCUAAACCCUAGGAGAAGAAGAAAGAAAAAGAGAGGAAGGAAGAAAAAGCUUGGUUUUAUAAUUCAACAAACAUAAGGUAAGGAUUUUGUGUUUUUAAGCUCAUGGUUGGUUAAAUCCUUGGAAAAAUAAUGAGUGAAUCAUUUUGUGGCAGCUAUGGUGGCCAUGGGUGUGAGGGAAUUAUGAAUUUUGUUGGGUGAAAUCCAAGGUAAAACCA